rnacentral:rRNA from 1 species
AAUAUUGCACAAUGGACGCAAGUCUGAUGCAGCGACGCCGCGUGAGGGAUGACGGCCUUCGGGUUGUAAACCUCUUUCGCCAAGGACGAGGUGAAAAUGGCGGUACUUGGAGAAGAAGUGCCGGCCAACUACGUGCCAGCAGCCGCGGUAAGACGUAGGGCGCGAGCGUUGUCCGGAUUUAUUGGGCGUAAAGAGCUCGUAGGCGGCUCAUUGCGUCGUCCGUGAAAUUCCGGGGCUCAACUCCGGGAUUGCGGGCGAUACGGGUGGGCUAGAGUUCGGUAGGGGAGACUGGAAUUCCUGGUGUAGCGGUGAAAUGCGCAGAUAUCAGGAGGAACACCGGUGGCGAAGGCGGGUCUCUGGGCCGAUAUUGACGCUGAGGAGCGAAAGCGUGGGGAGCGAAC